UACGUAGGUGGCAAGCGUUGUCCGGAAUUAUUGGGCGUAAAGAGCGCGCAGGUGGUUGAUUAAGUCUGAUGUGAAAGCCCACGGCUUAACCGUGGAGGGUCAUUGGAAACUGGUCGACUUGAGUGCAGAAGAGGGAAGUGGAAUUCCAUGUGUAGCGGUGAAAUGCGUAGAGAUAUGGAGGAACACCAGUGGCGAAGGCGGCUUCCUGGUCUGUAACUGACACUGAGGCGCGAAAGCGUGGGGAGCAAACAGGAUUAGAUA
rnacentral:rRNA from 1 species